AAUUUAGACAUGUGCCCUCAGCAUCCUAUCAUCCUAGACCUCUAAUUCAUAAAUUGGCAUGUCCAAUCCUAAUCUAUCAGUUAUCUUCCCGAGCAUGACUUUCAGCAAAAUUUUUAUUAUUUUUAGUUCUACAAUUGUAAGUAGUUAAAGAUUAGUGUUUCAGAUCAAAAAGAACAUAAAAUCAAGAAAAUAUAUUUAAAACCCAAC
rnacentral:lncRNA from 1 species